UUAAAUAAAUUAGUUUCUGUUUUGAAAUUUUGUCUUAAGUGUUGAGCUUUUGAUUGAAAUUCUGAUUUCUUCCUUUAUUUUUCUGCCAUUUUUUUCAUAUUGGUUAUGAAUGUCAAGAAACAAACUUGAUCCAACUGAAUUCAUUCUAAUACAACAUGUACAAUAGGAUGCGCUUGAAUAUAGAUACCAAAAUCACAUUAGAAUGGUGACUAUAUUUUACCUCAGGUCAUUCACAGUUACUUUUGUAUGCAAAGUGAUAGGAAUGUAAUGACCAUAUGUAGACAUUUAAAAAAAAAAAAAAAUUCAGAGAGUAUAUCAAGUGACUAAUGGAGAAUAACAAGCUUAGAUGACAGUCAGAAACAAUAGUAUUAGUGAACUGAGCAUCCUGAAUGGUUAAUGUGAUGGAGGCCAGCUACAUACCCCUCAUUUCUAUACCCCCUUAUACCUGUAAUUAUAUUUUGGUCUUUACAUUUUCUAUCACUCAGUUAUACAUUUAUUGUCAGUUUCUUCAUUCUGACACACAAAGUAGCUCUCUCUUUAUGAAUUUAUACAUUAUAAAACCAAGAAGCUAAAUAAUUUUUUCAGUCAUUUUAUAUGUCUGUUCCAACUUUUUACAGUAUGAAACAAACUAUUGCAAGAUACAACAAGUGUGACGAGUCUUCAGAGACCGCUUUGGUAGAAUCAAUCGCAGAGGGACUGUUCUGAUUCUUUUUUUGAGCUUGCCCUAUGUGCAGAAAAAUUGCAAGAGAUUUGACAGAAGCAUCAUUAUCAGGUGCAUGAUUGUGUACAGUAGCAGCUCUUGCCAUGAUGUUUUUAACUUGGAAUGAUAGGGAAAGCUUUUUUGAAGCGGCUGAAAGUGUUCCUGGGGUUUUGGAUGAAAGAAAGCAGGGAAGUUUUGAUUCUCUCUGAUAUGAAUGUAUUCCUUGAUUAAUGACUAAGAUUGCUUUUGCUACAGUCUUGCAAUUUCAAUUUCAAAAGUGAAGUAGAAUAAAACUUCUGGAUUCUGCCUUACAUGACAGAUUUUGUCUGACCACUUUGGUUGCAAUUUUUGCAUCCCUUGGAUUUUCAUUUAAUGCCAUGGAGAUUGGUGAAUGAGAUUCAUUGAGCUGCUAUGCAAGCUCUUGAUGAGCUCGAGUUAGAGCGAGUUUUAGGAUGAUACUGAAUGUUGGAUUAGCUUGGCAGUAUUGGUGGUUUGGUGCAAGAGUAACUUUAUUUGUUCUUGCCUCUCUAUUCCAGACAUCAUUCGCCAUAUGUAUCAAUCAGUUCAAAAUCCCUCUGUGAAUUUCAGUAUUGGUGGAUAGCAUACAGUCACAUCAUGAAAAGGUCUCCCACUUCCAAUGUCAUGACCGAGACAGAAAUAGGAAGACUUUGAGAAAUACAGAGGAUGCUUAUGCAGAUUGCAGAUUAAAGUUUUGAGUUUUGAAAUUUUUUCUGAUGCAAAAACUAUUAAGGUACAUUUUACAUGACUUCCCAGAACCUUCCUACACCAUGCAUCCUAUGCAAAUAGAAGUUGUCUAUAGAUUUGUAAACUUUGGCAUUAAUAAUACAAAACGUACUCCUUUUUCUAAUGGUUGCUAUUGUAUGGUAUAUUUUAGGAGGAUUUAUCAGCGCGG